CGUGUAGGCGGCUUGAUAAGUCAGAUGUGAAAGCCCUGGGCUUAACCCAGGAAGUGCAUUUGAAACUGUCUUGCUUGAGUAAGGGAGGGGGAAGUGGAAUUCCUGGUGUAGAGGUGAAAUUCGUAGAUAUCAGGAGGAACACCGGCGGCGAAGGCGACUUCCUGGCCCUAUACUGACGCUGAGACGCGAGAGCGUGGGUAGCAAACA
rnacentral:rRNA from 1 species